rnacentral:rRNA from 1 species
UACGUAGGGUCCGAGCGUUGUCCGGAUUCAUUGGGCGUAAAGAGCUCGUAGGCGGCUCAGUAAGUCGGAUGUGAAAACUCAGGGCUCAACCCGGAGACGCCAUCUGAUACUGCUGUGGCUUGAGUCUGGUAGGGGAGCACGGAAUUCCUGGUGUAGCGGUGAAAUGCGCAGAUAUCAGGAGGAACACCGGUGGCGAAGGCGGUGCUCUGGGCCAGUACUGACGCUGAGGAGCGAAAGCGUGGGUAGCAAACAGG